GACGAACGCUGGCGGCGUGCUUAACACAUGCAAGUCGAACGGAAAGGCCUGCUUUCCCUUGUGGAUUGCGGGUACUCGAGUGGCGAACGGGUGAGUAACACGUGAGUGAUCUGCCCCCAACUUGGGUAUAAGCCUGGGAAACUGGGUCUAAUUCCCGAUAGGACUGCAGGGUGGUGCCUGUGGUGGAAAACGAUUUUCUAGUGGUUGGGGAUGAGCUCGCGGCCUAUCAGCUUGUUGGUGGGGUAAUGGCCUACCAAGGCGGCGACGGGUAGCCGGCCUGAGAGGGUGGACGGCCACAUUGGGACUGAGAUACGGCCCAGACUCCUACGGGAGGCAGCAGUGGGGAAUAUUGCACAAUGGGCGGAAGCCUGAUGCAGCGACGCCGCGUGGGGGAUGACGGCCUUCGGGUUGUAAACUCCUUUCGACCGCGAGGAAGCCACCUGGUUGGAAGGGUGGUGACGGUAGUGGUAGAAGAAGCACCGCCUAACUACGUG
rnacentral:rRNA from 1 species